rnacentral:tRNA from 1 species
GGGGAUAUAGCACAGUUGGUAGCGCGAUACGUUCGCAACGUAUAGGUCGCCGGUUCGAACCCGGCUAUCUCCACCA